ACAUGCAGUCGAACGAGAAAGGGACUUCGGUCCCUGAGUAUAGUGGCGCACGGGUGAGUAACACGUGACUAAUCUACCCUCGAGUGGGGAAUAACUGAGAGAAAUCUUAGCUAAUACCGCAUAACACUUACGAGUCAAAGCAGCAAUGCGCUUGGGGAGGAGGUCGCGGCCGAUUAGCUAGUUGGCGGGGUAAUGGCCCACCAAGGCGAUGAUCGGUAUCCGGCCUGAGAGGGCGCACGGACACACUGGAACUGAAACACGGUCCAGACUCCUACGGGAGGCAGCAGUGGGGAAUUUUGCGCAAUGGGGGAAACCCUGACGCAGCAACGCCGCGUGGAGGAUGAAGUAUCUCGGUACGUAAACUCCUUUCGAUGGGGAAGAUAAUGACGGUACCCAUAGAAGAAGCCCCGGCUAACUUCGUGCCAGCAGCCGCGGUAAUACGAGGGGGGCAAGCGUUGUUCGGAUUUAUUGGGCGUAAAGGGUGCGUAGGCGGUUUGGCAAGUCUCGUGUGAAAUCUAUGGGCUCAACCCAUAGUCUGCACGAGAAACUACCGGGCUUGAGUGAUGGAGAGGUGAGUGGAAUUUCCGGUGUAGCGGUGAAAUGCGUAGAUUCGGAAGGAACACCUGUGGCGAAAGCGGUCAUGGACAUUAACUGGACGCUGAUGGCACGAAAGCUUAGGGGAGCAAACCAGGAUUAGAUACCCUGGUUAGU
rnacentral:rRNA from 1 species